rnacentral:rRNA from 1 species
UACGUAGGGGGCAAGCGUUGUCCGGAAUCAUUGGGCGUAAAGAGCUCGUAGGCGGCCUGUUGCGUCCGCUGUGAAAUCCCGGGGCUCAACCCCGGGCCUGCAGUGGAUACGGGCUGGCUAGAGGCAGGCAGGGGAGAACGGAAUUCCUGGUGUAGCGGUGAAAUGCGCAGAUAUCAGGAGGAACACCGGUGGCGAAGGCGGUUCUCUGGGCCUGUACUGACGCUGAGGAGCGAAAGCGUGGGGAGCGAACAGG